UCUAUUUGCGUUCUUUGAACUUCAAUAGUCGGGAGGUUUCAUUCAAAGGCUCUCUCUCUCUCACUCUCUCGAUCGAUCGAAUCCCUAAUUUCCUUCUCCAUAGAAUUGGGGGUUUGUUGAUUUCGAUCCCUGAUCUGAUCUCAGAGACUCUUGAUCUGCACUUCUAAUCGGUGCUUUGUUGAUUUCGUCCCCAAGGAGUCUCAUAUCGUCUCUCUCAAUAGCGAUUUCCGUAUCCAGGCUUGAUCGAUUAAUCGAUUUCAAUCUCAUUGAUUUGGUUUUCAAUCUGUUGUUCGCAUUUGUUCUUCAAAAAUGCUUAUUUAUCGGUGUAAUGUUUGUGUUGAUUAUGUGGUAUAACAGCCUUUUCAACACUGACUCUAUCCCCAAGGAACAACACCAAUGGCAACAAGAGCAAGAAUGUUGUAGCAUCAUCUAUAUCUCUUCGUCAGAAAACACUAAGUUCGAUCUUGGAACUGAAGGAAUUGGCCUCUUCGCUCUUGGGCUCCGCCAAGCGCCAUCUCGAUCGCUUGCAUUUGGAGAUCCUCAAGGACCUUCAGCUUCUCUCUCUCUCUCUCUCUCUCUCUCUCUCUCUCUCUCUCUCGUCUUCAUAAACGAUUAAAGGUAGAAGGAGUAACUACACUAAUUCACUCAACACAAGUGUCAUGGGAUAACACUCUGGACCAUGCAUCAUAUUUCAGAGUUGGCAAGGUAUUUGAGUUUACUAACCAAUUAGAAUUGUGAAUAAUAUAGAAUAGAAUUGUGAUAAAUAAGUCGAAAUUCUAUAUCAUAAUAUAUCGUAUUGCUAGAUUUAUUGUUCUGUUUUAUAAUAUUCAAGUUCUUGUGAAGCUCUUUUUGGUUGUAGAUUGUGGAGGCAAAAGUUCACCUAGUGCUGAGGCCCUUGCCACUAACAAGGUUUGGAGAGUUUAACCGUCUGGAGAGUUUAACCUUCUGUACACCCCGGAAAAAUGAAUGCCCAAAAACAUGAAUACAUGAAUCUGUCAGUCUGUAGGUGAUGGGGGUUCCCAGCAUCUAUGGCGAUGCAAGUUUUCCAUGCCCUUAGAAGUGAUAGGUUCGAGUAAGCCAGUAAGCAGCACUGGUAUAGAACUUUCUGAAUUUAUCUUUUUGUAUCCAGAUAAAAUUUUCUGAUACUCUUUUAUUUUAUUUUAUCCAUAAUUUUUGUGAUCAGUAAAGUUAUUAGAAAAAAACAAAGGGGGCAGAGCAUAAGCAUUUGUGACACAUAUGAGUAAACAUAAAAAGCUAUAAACCCUUGAUAAAACAACAUAAUCCUAAUUCUCCACAAUAUUGAAGUCUUAGGAAAUAAGUUUAACCUUCCAGUCCUCAAAAAAAAAAAAGAAAAAGAAGAAGC